ACCCACCUUUCCCUAAUUCUCCCAUCUUUCUUGGCUUGCUUUCACUCCUUUGCUUCCUCUACUGCCUCCUCCCUUCCAUGUGGCACAGGAGAUGGGGAGCAGGUGUUGCAGUCAGCCCAUAAGAGUUCCUCUCUGCUGCUUCUUCCGCUAAACACUUUUCAGAUAUGUGCAAAGGACGGAAAAGUAAUAAAUCUAUGCUCAUGCAGCAGGAGAGCUUUCUCAGCCUCUAAAACCUGGAUGCCCUUCAUAGAAUCAGCUACCUUCUGGUUUCUGGAGCCAGACCAGCAGUGAUAAACACCUAAUGAGAUGGAGAUAACAUUGGCUGCUGGAGGCUUGACCAUCAUCUCAGCAAUGCAUAGAUAACUGCGGAAGCCAGUGUGACAGUAAAUUAACAGGAUGGUAAUACUUGAAGUUGCCUUUGAAAGGAAUGUGUGGUAAUUGACUUUGUGUUGGCAAGAAGUAUGGGCAUUCCAUCCUACUAUAGCUUCUGUGACACGUUGAGAUCCUUAUCUUUUCUGAAAUUAGUGUCACAAGCUAGCUUUUUUUUUUUUUUUAAUUUAAAAAACAAAGGAACACCUGUUUAAGGGAGACUUGACUUUUUUAAUCAUCUCCACUGACAUACAGUGCAUGCCCAUACCCAAAGAUCAUGUGUUAUUGACUAUGUGCAUGUUAAAUAACUCCUGUUUGUCUCAGUCCUUCCCCUAUGUUGAGCAUGGAAACUGUUUUUGGUUGAUAGAAUAGAUUUAUAUGGUAAUUAAAAAUGUUAUAAGUGUACUCUCAUUUCCUAUUUCUUAGCUUUCUCAUGUCUAGUAACAAAAGGCAUGUCUGAAACAGGCAAAGGGCAAGGAAGUUUUUGUUUUUUACUGUGAAAGAUGAAACUGGGAGAGCUCGUAUGCAACACAGCUGUUGACCUGUCCAGCACAGAAAGGUCAGAUCUGUGCAGAAGAAGGCUCUGCUAGUAAACAGAGCCAAAUACUAAGCCUGGACUUUCAAGAGGGAAGUACCUCUGACUUUUUUUUUUUUUCCUGGCAAGAUUUUCAGCAGACAGGAAAAAAAAAUAAUAAAAAAUUACCUGGCAAACCA
rnacentral:lncRNA from 1 species